CAAAGCGAAUUCAACUAAGAUCCCUGAUCUCUAUGUUCUCUGACUACAACUUAACCUUUCGGCAAUUUGCGAAAGUGUACGCUUGAGGUAACUUCUAAAUUUGGCUGUGGACACACAGGAUUCAGAGUAGGAUGUGGGGAACAUGGAGUAUGAACGAUUAAGGUCAGAUAAAGCAACAUCUCCUUCAUCUUCGGUCACAUCUCCACAAAGUGACCAGUCACUGGAUAGACCUAUAUGGUUCAAGGAUGGAUCUCAUAGUUUUCUGGGGACUGAAAGGUACUGUAUUCUAAUUUAGAAUUAGAGUGCCAAACUUCUGUCAAUUUAUGUAUAAGACCAUAUGUAUAAGAUGGAACAGAGCAUAAAAACGGGAAUAAAAGGUGCAGUAUUUGCA
ensembl:lncRNA